UAAUUUGCAGUACUUUCUUAUGUUCAAAAAGAAUUCAUAUAAAUUCAGUAUUUGGCAUCGUUGGUUUUCUUGGCUUUGUGCAUGUUAGACCUGGUAUUUCUACUGAUACAGUA